GUGUGGUCUUUAUUAUGUUUUGUGUAUGUGUUGGUUUUAGUUUCCUUUGUUUCUUUUUUACUUGGGUCGGGUCUUUUGGUACCAAUAAGGUAAACGCAAAUGUCUUGCACUUCAAAAAAAAAAAAAAAAAGGAAAAAAAAACUAAUUUACUUAAAAAAAAAUUAGUGAAAUACUAGUAAAACAUACACAAAACAUAAUAAAGACCACAC
rnacentral:misc_RNA from 1 species